CGGUGCCAACCCCACUCUCCCCAGAUUAACCUGUUCAGCUUCACACACACACACUCUCCUACUUUCUGGAAAAGCUGAGAGCCUCCACCCCCCCAGAUUAACCCUCGCCUUCCUGACCUGGUGCCUGGCUUCCAUUAACUCCUUCCUGACCACAGAGUCAGUGCUGGCGAGGACCUUUGGGCCAGGUCCAGCUCCUUUCUUUUACAGAUGGCCACACAGGCCCUGACAGGGCCCUGGACGGGAGCAAGGGUCGGAAGGAGGGCAGCCGCCAUCGCAGACCUCACGCCACCCUGUCUCAACAUCUUCAUCCACAUCUCCAGCAGCCCCACCCCCAGCCCUGUCUUCAUCUGGGUGCCUUCAGGUGCACUGCAGGGAACGAAACAUCCGAUCUAGAAGUCAAGUGGGGAACACAGGAGAGAGGGGUUUCUGUGGCAAGAAUUCUACCCUCUGCCUGGACAAACAUUUCAUAAAUUUUUGUAUCUUUA